CUUCCAGGUUCUCAUUCUCGGCUUGGACAAACUUUGCUGGUAGCUUUCAAGACUGCUAUGCUCAAGAUGGUGCCAAAGAAGUUGUGCAGAAUCGCCACAUGCAGACGCACGCUCAAGGAUAGGAUUUUUUGACCUUUGAACUGGAAAUGAUGGCUCAACUGCAUGAGGCACCUCCAAGAGCAGGUCCGAGCUGUAAGAUGGUGGGGGCGGUGACCGGACCAUGUCAGUGUUGGUGAACCCUGACGGGGCUUCCUGAUUGGGUGAUGCUCUUGCAGGGACAAGUGAACCAGGCCCCUCCAGAGAAGGUCCGAGCCGUAAGAUGGUGGGGGUGGUGACCAGACCAUGUCAGUGUUGGUGAACAGUGACGGGGCUUCCUGAUUGGGUGUUGCCCUGGCAGGAAGGAGUGAACCAGGCCCCUCCAGAGAAGGUGAAGACCCAAAGAUGCAGCUGGGAUGGGUGGACCAAGCCGUAGGGCGUCGGAAGUGACGAGAACAUGUCAGUGUUGCAGGUCCUGUUGAGCCACCUGUUCCCAGGACCCACCCUGUAGGGCCUCCUGGUACGGGCUGUUUGGAGCUCCAUGAUGUCUUAAGCCGGCCCGUGGCGACCUCGGCAUCUGAAUUGUGAAACUUUUCAAUAAAACAUGACAAAAAAAACUACUUUUGUAUUGUUUCCUCAUGAUGUGGUAAUGGUUGAACUACAAUUAUGGUUAAUUUUAAUUAAACAGCCUGGCUGAAUUAAAACGAAUGUUAAACUGAACAUGGUCUACAGU